rnacentral:rRNA from 1 species
UACGAAGGGGGCUAGCGUUGUUCGGAAUUACUGGGCGUAAAGCGCACGUAGGCGGAUCUUUAAGUCAGGGGUGAAAUCCUGGAGCUCAACUCCAGAACUGCCUUUGAUACUGAGGAUCUUGAGUCCGGGAGAGGUGAGUGGAACUGCGAGUGUAGAGGUGAAAUGCGCAGAUAUCAGGAGGAACACCUAUUGCGAAGGCAGCUCGCUGGGACGUAACUGACGCUGAGACGCGAAAGCGUGGGGAGCAAACAGG